UGAGGAAUAUUGCGCAAUGGGGGCAACCCUGACGCAGCGACGCCGCGUGAGUGAGGAAGGCCUUCGGGUCGUAAAGCUCUGUCAAGAGGGAAGAAGUGCAUGGUGGUUAAUAUCUGUCAUGUUUGACGGUACCUCUAAAGGAAGCACCGGCUAACUCCGUGCCAGCAGCCGCGGUAAUACGGAGGGUGCAAGCGUUGUUCGGAAUCACUGGGCGUAAAGGGCGCGCAGGCGGCCUGAUCAGUCAGAUGUGAAAGCCCACGGCUUAACUGUGGAAGUGCAUUUGAAACUGUCAGGCUUGAGUACCAGAGGGGAAAGUGGAAUUCCCGGUGUAGAGGUGAAAUUCGUAGAUAUCGGGAGGAAUACCGGUGGCGAAGGCGACUUUCUGGCUGGAUACUGACGCUGAGGCGCGAAAGCGUGGGGAGCAAACAGG
rnacentral:rRNA from 2 species